CCUAUACCAGGGGACUCUGGGCACAAGGUGUGGGGACGCCCUGACUGGAGUGCUAACUGAUAGCAAGGCAAAAUUGGCAAGAAGAAUCCAAAGCCCCAAAACAAAGGGAUAACAUACAACGUCCAAUGACACAGGACAGAAAUGGGAAUAGCCAGAGCUAUUCCUAUCACUGAAACUUUCAGUUUAACUGACCCUGUUUCCAGAGGCUUGGCUUGUCAUACAGUUAAACCAGAUGUACAGGUGGCAAAAGUGAUUCAGGAGGAGGUGCCACAGUGGCAUCAAUGCCCUCCAGAGGCGAGGGCUGAGUAGGCUGGCUGAUAAAUACUGCAAGCAGAGCAGAGCACAGUGUGAGACUAGAAUUUAUUCAUUUUUUAUUAGUAGUUUGUUAUUUAUUUAAUUCCAUUGUUAUAACUGGUAAAAUGCACGUGCCAGGCUUUCGGAUUAAAAUGUUAUUCUGUAUGAGCAGAAGUAUAAGAGGAGAUCCAUUCGUCCCCACAUGCUAGGCUUGGGCUUCAUUGUACCUGCACCUAAGCUCAGAGACUUUGGAAACCAAUGGAUCUUUAAGCAGGAGGAACUGUGAGGUACAUGUAGAUACGAUCCCUGUAACUGCACUGUAAUCUCGUAUUGUUUAUUAGGUCAUAAUUUGUGGAUUGUAAGUACUGUAAAUAAAUUUGCUCUGUGAUUUCUCUUAUUAAUAAAAUUACACAUGAAAUGAAAAGAUGUAUGAUAUAUCCGUAGCUGUUUAGUUUAACACUCUAACAUGGCUACCAUUUGUUUCUAGCAGUUAAAUAGAAAAUUAGUUCAAAAUAAGACAUAAUUGUACCUAAAUAUAAAGGUUAUGAAUUCAUAAUUUAUAAAAUCAUUCAUGUUUAUUUUAAUCUGCUUCUUCUGUAUUUAUACUUAACCCAUAUGUUUGAAACCAUGGCAAAGUCUAAAUUCAUAAUAACACACAGAUCUAACCUUUUCAUUUCUCUUCAUUCCCUUUUAAACUUUUAAAUAUUC